ensembl:lncRNA
GUUUUUUUCUCCCAACUGCCAUCGGAAUGUUGUCAAAGUUCUCAGUGGCUGGCAGCCUGGUUCUAUAGCCAGGUGGCAUCUCAGGUCCUCAGGGUUGUGGGUCCAGAUCACAGUGGGGUCCCGGCAGUUGAAUCACUGGAAAUGCUCAAUCCACUUAAUGACAAUUCCCAUUACAGGUUUCAGGGUGGUCACCGCCUUAUCAAAAGUCUUGCUAAAGGAAACUCUGAUAUGGGAAUCCUAGUGCGCUGGGCAGUGGAGGUCUGUGGUGUUGGGAUUUGGCCAUAACACAGCCCUUCCCCAGCUCUUUCUCACUGUUUGCCAUGGCUCAUAUACUUCCAGGCAGACAGCUGAGUUCCUGCCGCCUGCAGAGAAGGGGCCGGGCUCUAUGGAGAGUUCAGUGCCGGGUUUAAAAAGUUGCCUUUUGCCCAGCACCCAUGUGCCCCACCUCUGGGAAGCUGGCCACUGACAGAUCUUGGCAGCCUUGCAGCAUGAGUUGCUGGCUUCUUAGUGUUUCACUCCUGUGAGCUGGGGUGGAGAGCAUCCUAGGGAGGGCUGGAGAAGAGGCUGCCAUAGCCUUCAACACCCCUAGGAGCCUCUGUAAUGCCGUCCGCCCUAGAUCAAGACCUGCAGAGGGCAUCUUAAGAGAUGGAGGCCCUUCUUUUUGAAAAGCACACGUAAAAAUACAGUGGCUUCGUAAGGCCUCAUUUGGAGAUUGAACUUUUGAAAAAAAGUCUUUGGGCUCAAGGCACUCUGGGAAUGAGGUUCAGAACACAGGGCUCACCCGUGCUAGUCACCCCCUCGCAUGUCAGUCCUGGGCACUUUUGGAGGGGGUCUCCUGCCAGAGACUUCACCUCCCUUCUCUCCUGGUAUAGAUCAAGGCCUUACAGACUAUUUUGUGACUUUGGGGACUAGGUCUCUUUGCUGCCUUGGGCUGAACUGAAUGUAAAGGGACACACAGGAGCAGCUGCCUCCUAAGUGAGGGGAUGUGAACAAAGAAACUUCGACAGAAGCUUUCCCCUCAGGCCUGCCAUGUGUUCAGACCUAGAGAGCUGCAGCCGUGGAGUCAGCCUAGUACAAGCUUCCUAUUCUGGUGAUAACUGCUACUGGUACAUGGCCCAGGCCAAGCCUUGUGCCAAGAGGGCGGGCCAGGAUGACUUAUCUGCUCAGAACAGCUGUGUCCUCACCCCCAGCCCCGAAAGUUGACUUGGAAGAAAAGCCCAGGUUCAGUUUGUCACUUCAGUCGAACUGAUCACUAUACCCUGACUAUGACAGAAUGACAGAGGGCCAUCUAUGCCUGCGCCCAUCCUAAGCCAGAUCCUGGAGAAGAAAGAAUACAUCCAGGCGGGGGGCUGUGGAGAAAGGACUCACUGCUACGCUUGGGGAGCCUGGCUUAGGCUUAGGCACAGAGAUGAGAGUGGCUGAACUUGGGGGAACAAGGGAGGGGAUGUUCACAGAGAAAACUAGGAGGGAAGGGAAUGGGGUUGCUUCACUCUGGAUUUUAUCCCGUAGACUCUGGUGAGCAGCUGGGCAGGUGGAAGGGUAUAGGUGGGGCACGCCAGACGCAACUCAUGGGCCCUGCCUGUAGGAGACAGAUCUAAGUGAGGUCAGGAAUGUGGGGACAAAGGAGAAGGAAGGCUUUUUGGCAGUGGAGUAGGGCGAGAAGAGAAGCCUCGAGGGGAGGUUAUCACAUAUGCCGAGCGAGGUGAGGGAGGAUAAGGUGCCAUUGUCUUAAAGUAAAAAAAUAAAACCUGAGUUGGCAGGUGGAGACCAGAGUUGAUACAAGUCUCUUGUGACCUGGAGAGAGAUGGUCACGGAGGCACUGUUCUUUUGAGGACAGGGUAGCUUUUUGGUGGGUCUCUGUGUCCAGGGCCUUCCUUAACAAGAGGGCAAGAGCAAAGGCAGAUUCCUGGGGACCAGAGUAUGGAGGCGGGGGAAGUUAAGGCACAAGACCAGAAGCAGAGGGAAGUGGGGAGGUAGGUAGCUUGAUGGGGGGAAUCCAGGAGAGCACGGGUUCUGCAUAAGGGAACUAACUCUUCGUAUGCCUCAGAAGGGCCGAGUACCCACUCUCCUACCAGUGGGUGAACGAGCUCCUUGUCUCCCAAGCAGCAUGUCUCUCACACACCGUGGUUGCUAAAUUAAUGUCUGAACACAGAUGUAAGUGCACAUGGUAAGAGGAAGCCCGAGAGCCCUGGUGGAUUUGGCAACAUUGGGAUGGGAUAGGUGGUGUGUCUCAGACCGGUUUUGGGAAAAUAGCUGGUGGUUGGGGGGAGGAGGAGGGCAGGACUUGGGGCAGAGCCUGAGUGUGGUGGUGGGGCUAGAGGGGAGGCAGUCUUCUCUGCUUCUUGUAGAAGUUUACCCAAGGCGGGAAGGGAGAACGCACAGAGCCGAAGCCUCGAGGUGGGAGGACAUUUAAGGAAUGAAAAUGGAUGUUUAUCGACUGCCCUAUCUCCAUUUCAUGCUCCUUGUAGAACAUGUAGGGAAGUGUUUAUGGGUUGCCUAUAAUUCCAACCGUGCUGCAUUCAUAUCCUGGGAUGCAUGUGGCCCUUGGGUGGCAUGUUGGACACAUUUGGUACUGUUAAGCCUUAAUUUCUUUCCAGGCCUUUGUUCCUUUCCUCAAAAUAAAAAUUGGGGUGGUGAUGGUGGUAUAUGUGUGUGUGGUAGGGGUAGGAAUGGCAUUACCAGGUUCUGUGUUAUUCUGCAAAGAUAUCUUUCUCGCUUGAUAAUUUCUGGAAAACGUUUCUGUAUUCAACAUCCCUUAAAUUUUACCCACCUCCUUUAAACCUAAGGUCCACGCAGUUCAAAAUGCAGUAACUGACAAAGAACACUCUGGGAAAGGUGCACUUUCCGCCCUGCUAAUGAAUCACUAGGCUUCCUUUCCAGGCUGUAACUUUUUAGAAGAGAAAGUCCUAGUAUGUAAGUAAUCCAGAAAUGACUUAAAAAUGACCUGCCGGGUGGCAUAUGUGGACACUAGGGCCUUAUUUUCUAUUAUAUGAGAGACUACCACGAUUAUCCUUGUGGUCAAAUCGUGCACACCCACCUUGUUUUCUCAACAGACGUUUCUAGAAGAAGCAGCAUUUCUAGGGUAGAAGGACAAAGCAUGUUCCCGGAAGUGGUGCUCCUGGAAAAGAAAACUUCCAAGGUCAUAUUUUCCUUCUGAGGAAGUUUAUCAAGUGGACGGCGCACUCAGAGUGACUUGCAAGGAUGCUCACACCCUGACUCUGCCCUCCAUCUGUUAAAAGUCGCUCCCUCCAGUGGUGCCCACUUUAGUUGGAGGGGAUGUGGAAGGGAGGCGCCAGCGAGUACCUCUUUUUUAGAUGAUGUAAGUGGCAUUUUUGGUGGUGGUGGUGUCGGUGGGGGCAGAGGGGAGAUAGGAGACUAAGUGCUGACUCGAGGGAGCACUGCUCCCCUGGGAGAGCACGGAUCAGAUGUCAGUACCAUGGCUAGAGGUGACCACACCAUCAAGAGACCUAAAACUAGAGGACAAAGUGUUUUGUUCUUUUUCCUCUUUGUUCAUUAACUUAUUUAUUCACUUUGCAUUCCAAUCAUAGCCCCUCCCCCUCAACUCCCACCCUACUCCCUUCCCCAUUCUCCUCUGAGGAGGGGGAGCUCCCCAACUCCCCAACCUGGUAUUAACUUACCCUGGCACAUCGGUCACUGCAGGACUAGGCUCAUCCUCUCCCACUGGGGCCAGACAGUGCAGCCCAGUUUGAGGAAUGGGAUCCACAGACAGGCAACAGAGUCAGGGAUAGCCCCUGCUUCAGUUGUUGGGGGGCCCCGCAUGAAGACCGAGCUGCACUUUUGCUACCUGUGUGCAGUGUGGCAGCAGAGUGGGGAGGACUAGGCCCAGUCUGUGCUCACUCUUUUGUUGGUGGUUCAGUCUCUGGGAGGCCCUGAGGGACCAGGUUAGUUGACUCUGUUGGUCUUCUUGUGGGGUACAAGGGGAAGGACUGCUGCUUUGCGGACUGGAUUAUUGUUUGAGGGCUUUUCUCUCUUGAAGAGACAAUGUGAGACUUCCUUUUCUGGCAGCUGUUCAGGGUGUGGUUGAGAGUUCUCGCGAAGGCGUGCAGGGGUUGAUGGGGAGGGAGGGACUGCUCUAGGUAGGUGACUCCAGCUGCCUAAUAGACUUUGUCCCCUGCUCAGUCUCUGGGGUGGGAGCAUGUAUCCUGCUGCCCUAUGACUAGGACUGCUUCUUGACUCCUGAUGGCAGAAGAGAAGCCAAGGACGGCUUCCUCUUGCCUCCCUGAGUGGGCAAAGUGGGAGCCAUAGAAAGAUGCCCCUCUUAUUUCCAGUAUUCUAGCUGUGCUAGGACAGCGAUCUGGAUUUCAAUGUCUGGGACUGGAUGAGUCACUGAAAGUCAUUGGAACUCAACCAUAUGAUUCAUCAGCAAAUGUUAGCAAUGGAGACACUGCCACAAGAUUUACAAGAAGUAGUGAAAAGCAUCCUGAGUGCUGUCAGUGUUUUACAGGGGAGCACUUUAGACAGUUGGCUGUUUUCACAACUGGGCAAUGAGUCGGUCGUGACAAAGCUCUGCUGUUUCAUGCUGGAGGGAGGUGAUUGUGGAGAGGCAAGUUUUAAAAAGUGUUUUUGAACUUCAUGAUGAACUCAAAAUGUUUUAAAGCAGGAAACAAGGUUGAAGAUCAACACCCCUUUUUGGUGAACUGUGAAUUGCACAACUUCAAUAAAUUGUCAAUUAAAAGUGAAUUGUAGAAAGUAGCUUUACCUGGGUUGAUGCUUUUCCCAUCUUGAAUGAGUUAAAUAUCAAGGCAAGGACCAAAAGCAACAUGCCUCUGAAAAGAUCCGAUCAUUUCAAAUGGAGCUUCCGCUUUGGAAAAAAAAUUAGUCGAAAAUAAAAUUUACAUGUUGCCUACUUCUUCUGCUUUCUUUGAGGAACAUGACAUUGAACCAGACAAAAGGAUUAUGAUGAUAAGAACACUUGCACAUGACUUCAGACAGAAUUUCUUUGACCCAAAUCUACCUGACACCCCAUUUGCACUUAACCAGAAGCCCACUCACUGUCAUCGCUGAAGAUGCUCCCGAGACAGCAGAGGAGGAGUUGAGCAACGGCGAUGUGGCUGAGAACGGUUUUCUCUCUGAUGCCAGUGACACAAUUCUGGACCAAGUGUUUGCAGUCCCCAUGCUAUUGACUGUGCUGCACAAUCUUCGUCCGUUUCCAACAACGUAUCUUUGUGAAAUAGGCCUUUCCAACUCAUUGUCAGGUCUAAAUACAGAAGCAGACUUGUUGUGGGAGAUGCUCUUGUUGUGGGAGACUGCCCUGAGAAUUUAUGUGGUGAGAAAGAAGCAAUCUCCACCUUUAUACUGAUGUUGGCCUUUUAUGCAUACUGUUGCAAAGUGUAGCAAUGUACCUUACUGUUAAGACUGUUACCCAUGCCACACAAUGCUUCAAGACAAAAAUUCCACUUAUUUGUAAUUAGAAGUAAACAGUUUACAAUAUAUAAUUACAUAUUGCUUUGGAAUUAAUCACGAUGCUUUAAUUAUGUUCAAUUUGCAAUAACAAAAAUACAUCCUGCGCAUCAGAUAUUUACAUUAGGAUUCAUAACUGUAGCCAAAUUACAGUUAUGAAGUAGCAAGGAAAAUAAUUUUAUGAUUGGGGGUCGUCACAACGUGAGGGACUGACUGUAAUAAAGGGUCGCAGCAUUAGGAAGGUUGAGAACUACUGUCCUAAAUGGGCUUCUACAUGACUUUUAAAGGUCAGCCAUAUGACUAUCAGUAUUAACCAGUACUGCAUUAAAUCUAUGAAUUUGCUUUAAAAGAGUGGCGUUGGGGCCUAUGUUUUUGAAUGUUGCGUCAAAUGGGUGGUGUCGUACGUACUGUGGGGGCAGGUGCACUGCUGAGGUUUGAGAAUUGUGGGUUUAAGUGUGAACGUAGCCUGGUUCUUUGACCUCAGUUUCCUCAUUUGUAAACAAGUUUUACUUUUGAUUUGCAAACGAAGCUAUUGAAAACAACGUUGUAAUGCCGUCGGAUGCAGAUGGAGUUCGUAGAUAAUACAUAGAGCGGUUUCUGGCAUACACUGAGUACUCAUGUGCUGGCCAGGAUUCUAUCUUAUUUCUGUCCUUUAAAACAUGGUGUCAUUAGCAGAGGGUCUUACCAUCAUGUUCUGGUGGGGAGGGGUGUCACCAAGAGCAAUGGAAAGUACUCUGUGUUGUUUUUUAGUGGGGGCUUCUAUGGGAUUCCUCUGGCCAACAUCUGGAAAAGAUGUAUCCCGUAUCUGGUGUCCAGCUUUUUAUUGGAUAGCCUAUGGUGUCUGAAAGGGGUGUUGCCCCCUUCCAACUUAACUUCAUUUCAGUUCUUUAUAUAUAGGUAUGUAUGUGUAUAUAAUGUUUAUUUUUAGGUAGCUUCUAUAGUAGUAGGCUUCCGUAUGACUUUCUCAAAACUCUUUAGUGUUAAUUCCCCUUUCCCAUGCUGCCUCAUCCUCUAUUCUGUUUUCUGUCCAUCAGUACAAGCAGAUAUUCCCGCUCCAUUCCUCCUUGAUGCCACCUGUGCUCUCUGCCCUUCUCCCUAAGGGCUCUCCUAUCCCAUGGCUCCCGCCAUUUUCAAAAUGUAGUUAAUACAGAUGUUGUUAUAUAUGUUUAUUUAAAAUUCAGCUUUUCUGUUCUGAAAGUACAUCCAGGAACAUAAUGAUCUGUGUUGGGGAUGGAUGCUUAUGGGAAGAUGUUAAAAGAGAGCACAAGGGGAUGGAACCCUCUGGGGUCUUUGACCUGUACCAGGCACCCAUCCCUUUCUCUCCCCUUUCCAAUGGGAUGGGCUCAGCAAGUGCUUGAUAUGUUAGGACAUUUGCCAAGUUAAUUGUGGUUAUUUCUAGGUGCAGAGCCUGUGAAACAUGACUCAAAAGGAUCCAUAGUAGAGAGUCCAUGGUAUCUUUUCUGCUGGUACUCUAGUUUUCUCCUGAGCCAGGAAAGUGAUAUUAAAAGACAGAAAUUAGAACAAAUUUCUAAUGUAUGUAUAUAAGUAUGAUAUACCACAGGGAAACCCACUACUUUGUCUUCUGGCCUCCAAAUGAAGAAAAAUAAAAUUAAAUAAAACAAUGCAAGCUGAAAUGAAUUGUUUUCUGCUUUCAAAGUCCUCUUUGCAUCCCUUUGUACUUCCUGGAAUCCCCGCAGAGUGGUGAAAACCCAUGGAAGGCCUCCACUUCAGCCUGUGGGGUUAGUUUCAGCCCAAAUACCUAAUACCCGCUGAGGCGGGAAUAAGAAAGGUUGGAACUGUCUCUGGGUUAUUUUCUCCAAUCAGGGAGAUAACGUCUAAAAAUGUUUUGAAAGGAAAGUGUGAAGAGUGGCAAUUGGCCUCCAUGAUAAAUAGAACUAUAAAUGUCAAAGACUCAAAAUGGUACAGUUUCCACAGACAAGAAAUUGCUUAGGACAAAGCUUGGUUGCGUUUACACAUCUUAAAAGUUUUAACAGGCCAACACUGCCAUUCUUCAGGUGUUGCUAUUUCAGAGUCUUUAAUUUGUUUAUAAUUUUUUUCCAGGCUGGUAUAGCCCAAGAUGGCCUCAAAUUCUUGAUCCACUUGCUUUGGCUUCCCAAGUGCUAGGAUUACAGACAUGCCGUACCACUCUCAGCUCGUACUUCCAAUGUUUCUACAGGCAGAAAUGCCCCGCAUCUUAUCCUGCAACAGGGGAUGGAGGGAAGUGAGUGGUUUUCCACUCAUGCUUCAUAACAGGUCUCAGACUACUGUGAGUCCCAAUCUCUGUUCUCCCACAAUGAUUCUCCAAUCUCUCUUCCAGGUCUCAGCCUGACAGGAAUCUCAUUCUCUGUUCCUCAAUGAUGAUCCUCCUAUCCCCACAUCCCAGGUCUCUGCCUACAAUGAACCCCACUCUCUGUUAACCACAACUCUAGGCUGAUCCUUUGGGCAGGGUGGAGGUUCAACUCUGGAGCCUUUGUUGGCUAAAGGGCAGGAUGAUCCUAGGGCCUUAGUGAAAUCCUAAGUCCAGUCUCUAUCAUAGGGUCUCUCCCCAAAGUCACGGCAUUGUAAAAAGUGUUGGCAGUGUCUCAAAUGAAGAUGGGCUGGCAACAGGGAAGGCAUCACAGUGUUUCUAGCAACCCCCGACCCUUGGUUGCUAUGGGCAGAGGCCAAAGAAAGAUGGAAGGGCUCGGGCUGUGCUUUGCACACCUUGUCCUCCCACGAGCAAGGGGCUGACAGAGUAUGGAAGUAGAGAAAGCCUGGCUUAUUUUAAAAAGACUGGGAGAAGGGAAAUAAAAUGGUCCUAGGAAGCUGAUGAAAGGCAGGAG